rnacentral:rRNA from 1 species
AUGAGCGAUGUCACCGGCAGGUUCGUGCUGGCCGCGGCCGUCGCGGUGGCGUCGCUGGUGAUGGCGGCGGCGGCGCGGCACGACUACGGGGACGCGCUGUCCAAGAGCCUGCUCUACUUCGAGUCGCAGCGGUCGGGCCGGCUGCCGUACAACCAGCGAGUGCGGUGGCGCGGCCACUCGGGGCUCACCGACGGGCUGGAGCAAGGGGUGGACCUGGUGGGCGGGUACUACGACGCCGGCGACCACGUCAAGUUCGGCCUCCCCAUGGCCUUCACCGUCACCAUGCUCUCGUGGGCCGUCCUCGAAUAUGGCGACCAGAUCGCCGCCGCCGGCGAGGGCGCCCACGCGCUCCAGUCCAUCAAGUGGGGCACCGACUACUUCAUCAAGGCGCACACCGCGCCCAACGAGCUCUGGACCCAGGUCGGCGACGGCGACUCGGACCACUACUGCUGGCAGCGGCCGGAGGACAUGACGACGUCGCGGCGGGCGUACAAGGUGGACGCCGAGCACCCCGGCUCGGAGGUGGCCGCCGAGACGGCCGCCGCCAUGGCCGCCGCGUCCAUCGUGUUCCGGCGAGCCGGCGACGCGCACUACGCGCACCUCCUCCUCCACCACGCGCAGCAGCUGUUCGAGUUCGCGGACAAGUACCGGGGGCGGUACGACGCGAGCGUGCGGGUGGUGAAGAGCUACUACCCGUCGGCGAGCGGGUACAACGACGAGCUGCUGUGGGCGGCGCUGUGGCUGCACCGCGCCACCGGCGGCCGCGAGUACCUCGACUACGCCGUCGCCAACGCCGACGACUUCGGCGGCACCGGCUGGGGCGUCUCCGAGUUCAGCUGGGACAUCAAGUACCCCGGCCUCCAGGUCCUCGCCUCCAAGCUGCUGCUGGAGGAGAAGGACCUGAGCUCGGAGUACCGCGCGGUGCUGGAGAAGUUCCGGGCCAAGGCCGAGUUCUACGUGUGCUCCAACAUGAACAAGAACCCCGGCGGCGCCGCCCGCAACGCGCCCCGCACCCCGGCGGGGCUCAUCUUCAUCCGGCCCUGGAACAACCUCCAGUACGUGACCAACGCCGUAUUCCUCCUCACCGUCCACUCCGACCUGCUGGCCGCGCUCGGGGAGCCCCUCCGCUGCACCGUGGACGAGGACGCCGACACCUCGGACACGGGCGGCGAGACGGCGGCGGACGUCGUGGUCAGGGCCGAGGAGGUGCUGGCGUUCGCCAAGGCGCAGGCGGACUACAUCCUAGGCACGAACCCGAUGGAGACGAGCUACCUGGUCGGGUACAGCGACAAGUACCCGCGGCGGGUGCACCACCGGGCGGCGUCGACGGCGUCGUUCGCGGACGAGAAGGGGUUCAUCGGGUGCGCGCAGGGGUUCGACUCGUGGUACAGCGCCGGGGAGGAGAACCCGCACGACCUCGUCGGCGCCGUCGUCGGCGGGCCCGACGGCGAGGACCGGUUCAACGACCAGCGCGGCGCGUACAUGCAGACCGAGGCCUGCACGUACAACACCGCGCCCAUGGUCGGCGUCUUCUCCAGGCUCAUGGAGCUCGACGCGGAGGAGCGGCUGCGGGAGCAACGAGACCUGUGA